GCCUUUCUUCAGCUGCUGCCGAUUGCAGUGAUUUGCAUUAGCCCGGCCCUCAUUGAAAUGCGGCUCUUCACACCAGCCUCUCUCUGGCACUCUCUCCAGAGGGCGGCGCCGCCACCGCCGCUCUCCCUCUUUCAGUGUCUCCCUUUGCGGUCUCACUCUUCCGUCGGCGCCGCGGGGUGACCGCCAGAGUCGCCGGCGGCAGAGCCCUUCCCGCGGGGCAGUGGGUGCGAGGGGAGUUCGCUACCUGCCUGCCUGCACACCCCGCCAGCCCCAGGAUUGGGGGUGCGGUGGGUAGAUUGCGCUGAGCCGUUGGUUGCACUCGCAGUGGGCUCCUUCUGAGCCUUUGGAAUACUGCGUGUUUCCUGAGCCCUCUGUAACACAUCUUUAUAAACCACAAUGCAGUCACUUCUUAAUCCCACUUCGGAUGAAGUAACUUGGACUUCUCAUCUUUGUUAUUGCUGAUCAAGUUUUUCAGAUCUAACAGUAUUCCAACAGUGCUUUUCUGAAGACUGCUAAUUUUUAUCAACCUUUGACAAAAGUGUACAGUAGAACUGGAUACAGUUAUGUCACCACCCAACACUCUCAGACUGUAAGACUGCCUUGAAACAUUGUUCUGGGAACUUCUCUUUAGUUGGCUAACCACUGUGACCCCUAAAUCCUUUUCAGAGUCACCACUUUCCAGGACACAGUCUCCAAUCUUCUAAACGUGACCUACAUUCUUUGUUCCUGAUGAAUGACCUUCCAUUCAGCUGUCUCAAAAAGCAUGUUCAAAUGGUCUUGGCUUACUAAAGGAUGUCAAUUUCCCUGCAGAAAAACUGUUUUUUGUUGCAUUAUUUAGUACUUUAUGCAUUUUGUGUCAUCUUCAGAUUUUAUCAUUAAUGCUGUUAUGUAUUUCUUUACACCACUCAUAAAUUUAUGCAGUAGCAGAGGACAGCAUUUUCUAAAAUGUGGGCCUCAAUCCCCCAAGGUAGCAGCGUCAAGGGUGUUUUUAGAGCUCAUUCCACAUUGUGUCAGAGAGGCAGUCAUCUCUCAGAAUGCCAGACCAGGCCAAGGGAACUAGCUGGUCAUAUAUGUCUGUCUCAGCAAACAGCCCGUGCCAGCUCCCAGCAGGGAUCUAAGCAACUGGAGCUGCACCAGCCAGCUGGGCACUGCAGAGGCAUGGAGUGGUAUGGCAGAG